rnacentral:misc_RNA from 1 species
AUAACUUAUCAAUGCUAUAAGACAAAUUUUAUAUAGUCUAUACAUAAAUACAAAUAUAAAACUCAGCAGCCAUUUCACCAUUCCACUACCACACUUUCUUCUGUUUUUUGAAAAAGCCAUAUCUGUGACCACCACACUUACACUCACAAUUAAUCCAUGGAUUGCCAAUUAGGAGUGCAGGGCCAUGGCUUCGGUAAUGCCAGAACUCCUUUGUUAGACAGACCUGCUUUAGGGAGAAAGAGAAAUGAUGCUGGAGAUGGUCAGUUGGGAGACCUUGAGCAUGGUGAUUCUGUUCCGGCACCAAAUGUUGGAUUUGGCAGAGUUAUUUCACUUGCGAAGCCUGAAGCAGGAAGUUUGGUAUUGGCGACAAUUGCUUUGCUGUUUGCAGCAACAUCAAGCAUUUUGAUUCCAAAAUUUGGGGGAAAGAUAAUUGAUAUUGUUUCAGGUGAUAUCCAAACACCUGAACAGAAAUCAGAAGCUUUAAAUGCAGUCAAGAACACAAUACUUGAAAUCUUUCUGAUUGUCAUUGUUGGUUCUGUUUGCACAGCACUUCGAGCAUGGUUAUUCUCUUCUGCUAGUGAAAGGGUUGUAGCCAGGUUGAGAAAGAACUUGCUAAGUCACCUUGUUCACCAGGAGAUAGCUUUCUUCGAUGUUACUCGAACUGGGGAGCUCCUCAGUAGGCUAUCUGAAGAUACCCAGAUCAUAAAGAAUGCCGCAACUACUAAUCUUUCAGAGGCUUUGAGGAAUCUUGCUACUGCAUUUAUUGGUCUUGGAUUUAUGUUUCAAACAUCAUGGAAAUUAACAUUGUUGUCGCUAGCUGUUGUACCAGUCAUAUCAGUUGCAGUACGCAGAUUUGGUCGCUACAUGCGUGAGCUUUCCCACAAAACUCAAGCUGCUGCAGCAGUAGCCUCGUCCAUUGCUGAGGAAACUUUUGGCGCCAUACGGACAGUGAGAUCAUUUGCGCAGGAAGAUUAUGAGAUUUCACGCUAUUCGGAGAAAGUUGACGAGACCUUAAAUCUUGGGCUUGGACAAGCUAAAGUGGUUGGCCUUUUCUCUGGAAGCUUAAGUGCUGCAUCUACUCUAUCAGUUAUUGUAGUAGUAAUAUAUGGAGCCACUCUGACUAUCCAAGGCGCGAUGACACCUGGAGCUCUUACAUCCUUUAUACUCUAUAGCUUAACAGUUGGAUCAUCCGUAUCUGGACUUUCUGGAUUAUAUACUGUAGCAAUGAAAGCUGCUGGAGCCAGCAGACGGGUUUUUCAGAUCUUGGAUCGCACAUCAUCCAUGCCAAAAUCAGGAGACCUAUGUCCAAUGGGUGAUCAAGCUGCAGAGGUAGAACUGGAUGAUGUCUGGUUUGCCUAUCCAUCCCGUCCUAGCCACAUGGUCCUCAAGGGUAUAACAAUGAAGCUACAAUCUGGUUCAAAGGUUGCACUGGUUGGUCCAAGUGGUGGUGGAAAGACUACAAUAGCAAAUUUGAUAGAGAGAUUCUAUGAUCCUGUUAAAGGGAAGAUCUUGCUCAAUGGGGUUUCUCUGGUUGAAAUAUCUCAUAAGCACCUACACCAUAAGGUUAGUAUAGUGAGCCAGGAACCUGUUCUUUUCAACUGUUCCAUUGAAGAAAAUAUUGCCUAUGGAUUGGGCGGCAAAGCAAGCAGUGAAGAUAUAGAAAAAGCAGCUAAAAUGGCCAAUGCUCAUGAAUUUGUAUCCAAAUUUCCCGAAAAAUAUCAAACCCAUGUCGGAGAACGAGGAUUAAGACUUUCUGGUGGUCAGAAACAGAGAAUAGCCAUAGCUAGAGCACUACUGAUGAACCCUACAAUUUUAUUGUUGGACGAGGCCACGAGUGCUCUGGAUGCUGAAAGUGAAUAUCUAGUUCAGGAUGCCAUGGAUUCCCUG